rnacentral:rRNA from 1 species
UACGUAGGGUGCAAGCGUUGUCCGGACUUAUUGGGCGUAAAGAGCUCGUAGGCGGUCUGUCGCGUCGGAUGUGAAAAUCCAGGGCUCAACCCUGGACCUGCAUUCGAUACGGGCAGACUAGAGUUCGGUAGGGGAGACUGGAAUUCCUGGUGUAGCGGUGAAAUGCGCAGAUAUCAGGAGGAACACCGGUAGCGAAGGCGGCACUCUGGGCCGUGACUGACGCUGAGGAGCGAAAGCGUGGGGAGCAAACAGG